rnacentral:rRNA from 1 species
UACGUAGGGUGCAAGCGUUGUCCGGAUUUAUUGGGCGUAAAGAGCUCGUAGGCGGCUAAGUAAGUCGGGUGUGAAAACUCCAGGCUCAACCUGGAGACGCCACCCGAUACUGCUUUGGCUAGAGUCCGGUAGGGGAGCAUGGAAUUCCUGGUGUAGCGGUGAAAUGCGCAGAUAUCAGGAGGAACACCAGUGGCGAAGGCGGUGCUCUGGGCCGGAACUGACGCUGAGGAGCGAAAGCGUGGGGAGCAAACAGG